GACGAACGCUGGCGGCGUGCUUAACACAUGCAAGUCGAACGGAAAGGCCCUGCUUGCAGGGUGCUCGAGUGGCGAACGGGUGAGUAACACGUGGGUGAUCUGCCCCUUACUUUGGGAUAAGCCUGGGAAACUGGGUCUAAUACUGGAUAGGACCAUGCUGUAGGUGGUGUGGUGGAAAGAUUAGUUUCGGUAAGGGAUGAGCUCGCGGCCUAUCAGCUUGUUGGUGGGGUAAUGGCCUACCAAGGCGUCGACGGGUAGCCGGCCUGAGAGGGUGGACGGCGACAUUGGGACUGAGAUGCGGCCCAGACUGCUGCGGGGGGCAGCAGUGGGGAAUAGGGCACGAUGGGCGGAAGCCUGAUGCAGCGACGCCGCGUGGGGGAUGACGGCCUUCGGGUUGUAAGCUCCUUUCAGCCAUGACGAAGCCCUUGUGGUGACGGUAGUGGUAGAAGAAGCACCGGCUAACUACGUG
rnacentral:rRNA from 1 species